GACAGAGGGUGCAAACGUUGUUCGGAAUUACUGGGCGUAAAGCGCGUGUAGGCGGUCGUGCAAGUCGGGUGUGAAAGCCCAGGGCUCAACCCUGGAAGUGCAUUCGAUACUGCAUGGCUAGAGUCCCGGAGAGGAUGGUGGAACUCUCGGUGUAGAGGUGAAAUUCGUAGAUAUCUGGAGGAACACCGGUGGCGAAGGCGGCAUCCUGGACCAAUAUUGACGCUGAGGAGCGAAAGCCAGGGGAGCAAACGGG
rnacentral:rRNA from 1 species